rnacentral:rRNA from 1 species
CCUACGGGCGGCAGCAGUGGGGAAUAUUGGACAAUGGGGGCAACCCUGAUCCAGCCAUGCCGCGUGUGUGAAGAAGGCCCUCGGGUUGUAAAGCACUUUCAGUGAGGAAGAACGCCUGGUGGUUAAUACCCAUCAGGAAAGACAUCACUCACAGAAGAAGCACCGGCUAACUCCGUGCCAGCAGCCGCGGUAAUACGGAGGGUGCGAGCGUUAAUCGGAAUUACUGGGCGUAAAGCGCGCGUAGGUGGCUUGAUAAGCCGGUUGUGAAAGCCCCGGGCUCAACCUGGGAACGGCAUCCGGAACUGUCAAGCUAGAGUGCAGGAGAGGAAGGUAGAAUUCCCGGUGUAGCGGUGAAAUGCGUAGAGAUCGGGAGGAAUACCAGUGGCGAAGGCGGCCUUCUGGACUGACACUGACACUGAGGUGCGAAAGCGUGGGUAGCAAAGAGGAUUAGAUACCCGAGUAGUC